rnacentral:lncRNA from 1 species
GGAAGAAAACUACGAUGAACCCUCAUAUCAGCCUGGAUUUGGAAGUAUCAGUGCGAACUUAUGAUUCUCAGUUUAUAUGGGUUCAGAGACACAGAAAAUCAUACAGGUCCAAAAGUGUCUUUACACAGGCAACACAAAUAAAACCAUGAGAAAGAGAAAAAAGAGAGAGAUAGGAUUGUGUGCAUGUGCACCCAGCUCUCCACAGACAGCACCUGGGAGCAGACAAACUCCCACAGCAGUGAACAUAUCUAAUACCCAGGUCUUGGAUUGCUGUUAUGAUUCUCUAUUAACAGUAACCUAGCUUUCUUAGAAAAUGGAUGAUUCCAGAGCUUAUAUGGGGAAGUGUUAAGAUGAGCCCAUAACAUCUUCUUGUCAGAAAGCAAAGGGGUGCUCAGAGAGUGAUGCCGAGAUGUCAAAAUCACAUUGAAGCCAGUCUGAAGAGAAUGCCGCUAGCCAGAUCGAGGAUCAUUUAAGAAUUAAAAUUAAAAUAGUAAUUAUAAGUGAGGUGCAGUGGCAUGCCCCUGUAGUCCCAGCUACUCAGGAGGCUGAAGAAGCAGGAUCAUUUGAGCCAAGGACUUCAAGACCCCCCUGGGCAACAUAGCAAGACCUGCUUCAGAAAGAAAGAAAGAAAAAUAAUGAUUAUAAAUCAACUUACUUCAUAAAAUAGGAAACAUUGAGUCUAAACAAACUUAAAUAGGUGAAUAAAUUGAAAUUUUGUAAGAAACCAUUUCAAAGCACAGAAGGAGUAAAAGAAACCUUUAAUGGAAGACUGGCAGGCAUCACCUGAAUCAGAUAGAUGGUCGAAGUAAGCUGUACCAGCUAUGGGGAAAUCUGAAUCUGCACCACCAUAAGAGGCAAAGAUGUUCAAAGAAGGUUACAGUGUUCUUUCCAUAUUAGGCUUCUCCUCAGAGAAAGAACCAAUAGGAUGGAUGGAUGACAGAUAGAUAGACAGAUAGAUAGAUAGAUAGAUAGAUAGAUAGAUAGAUAGAUAGACAGACAGCUAGAUCUCCUCUAGAAGCAUCCUCACAGAUGCACCCAGAAAUAGCUGUGCUUUGCUCAAUAACUGGGAUACAUUCUGAACACGUGUCAUUAGUUGACUUCAUCAUUGGGCAAACAUCAGAGUGUAUUCCAUGAGACCUGGGUAGUAUACAUCAAUCACUCCAUGCCAACUUUUGUUGUUGUUGUUGAGCUGGGAACUUAACCCAGGGAUUUGUCAUGCUAGGCAAGUACUACACCUCUGAACUACAUCCCUAGCCUCCAUGUGGCCUUGAUGCAAUAAAGAAAGCCAAAAUGUGAUAUAUAUGAGGCUGCUGCUGGUAUAAGAUGGCAUACUCUUUUAUAGAAAAAUUUUGGUGGGGAGGGAAUACUGGGGAUUGAGCCCAGGGGUACUCACUCUAUGACUGAGGUAUAUGCCUAACAAUAGAAGGAGUUUGUCUAAAAUAACCACUAAAAAGUAAAGUGUGGUAAGUGCAUAAUGAGCAAAUAUAGUUGUUUAUUACCACGUAUAAACUAUUCAGAACUGAAUAUGUUAUCCAUGUGGUUGAUACCAGCAUCACCUCCAACACACAAGUGAUGCUCUUCCCGACAGUGUUACAGCAGCUGCUAUGUCACCAGGAGGCAUGAAUUUCCAGCUCUCUUAUCAUUUUAUGGGACAUUACUGAUCAAAGUGUCACUCUGGUGUAUGAUCACAAUGCUUGACCGUCUCUCUAGGUCUUCCUUAAUCUAAUCAAGUACAUACCUAAAAUCAACCAUCACACAUAUCAUAGAUGCAUGACCUGAAUGUAAGCAUGAAGAAACAUCAGACAACCUCAAAUUAAAGGGCAUUUUGCAAAAGAACUGGCCUGUAACAAAUCAGGUCAUGAAAAUCAAUGGAAGAUGGAAUUCCCUCCAGAUUGAAGAAAAUGAAAAUGACAACUAAAUGCUAUGUGAUUCUGAGCCAAAUCCUUUUGCUAUAAAGCAUAUAAGUGGGAAGAUUGGCAAAACUUAAACGGGGCCUGGGGAUCAGAAGUCAGCAAUGUACCAGCGUCAAGUUUCCUGAUUCCAGUGGUGCUACUUUGGUAACGUAGGAAAGCAUGCUUGUAUAGAAAUACUCAAACAUAUUCAGAGAGUAUUUGCAGCUAAAGGCAUCGGGUCAGCAACUUACUCUCAUACCAAUAGGGAAAUAAAGUUUUCUGUCCUGCCCUGUACUUGCAACUUUUCUGGAAGUUUAUUACUGAUCCAACUUUUAAAGGUACUAAAAAUAAAAUCAGUAUCAUUAUUCAGCUUGGAGUGUUCCCACUUUUUGUUUAUAUGCUCUCUAUAUUAAGCAAGGUACACAUGGAGCUCAUGGUGCAGACUGCCCUCAGUCAGCCCUGUACCCCACCAUGCCCAGGACGCAUAGCCAUGUGACAGAGCUGCCUAGGCUGAGCAUGACCCAUCCCGAUCGGCCUCCUAAUUCUUGUUCCCAAAUGUUACAUCUUCCUGUCAACUCCAGUGAGGCUUCUGGAAAGACACAUUAAGAUGGUAGUGCCUUGGUAAUGUGUCUCACUUUUACUGUCUCAGAUCACAUGCCAUUGAACCCCAUCCUACUCUCAAACAAAAGUCAAUUAUUAGCUACACAUAGGCCAAACAAUAAAAGUCUACUCUGCUUAUUAUAACUCAGCCAUUUCUUUUUGGAUUUUACUUUUAGGCCAUCUUUUUUUCUACUCUACUCACAUUAUACACAUGGUCCUCUAGUUUCCUGAAUUCAACUUAUGUAUAAUCUUUCUUUAUAUGCAUUAUACAUUAAGACUCUGUUUUAGGCCAUAUUCUGAAUUCUUUCUCUGGCCUCCAGGCAAAAAUUCUUUUGGAGGGGGUUUUUGUGUGUUUUGGGGUACUGAUGAUUGAAACCAGGGCACUCUACCACUGAAUUACAUCCCAAGGCCUUUUUAUUUUGAGAAAACAUCUCACUGAGUUGCUGAGGUUGGCCUUGAAUUUGCCAUUCUCCUGCCUCGGCCACCCAAGUCACUAUGGUUGCAGGCAUGGCCACCAUCCCUGGCCCAGGUAAAUAUUUUGAGUCAUGAUAGGGUGAGUUGCCUGAGGCCUCCUCCUCCUGCCACCAGCACAGCCCUGUCUAUGCAGGUAGUGUUACCAAAAGAGCUAUUUUAAAAACAGAGUAGAAAAUAAGAAAAAUGGAAUGGUUGAUACUAUAAAAAAUAAAGGUUUCAUAAAAGUAAUACCACUGAUGGGAGGGGAG